rnacentral:tRNA from 1 species
GGGCGGUUAGCUCAGCCGGUAGAGCGCCUGCUUUACGCGCAGGAUGUCGCAGGUUCGAGUCCUGCACCGCCCA